UUUCUUCAUUUCGCUACUGCAACCAGGAAUUUGCAUUGUAUAAAACAACAGAUGCGAUAGUAUUUAAUAAUAUUUUGUGCAUAUGAGUUGGGAUUUUGGGGUUUGGUUUUACCUCCUUUAAAGUAUAAAAACAAUUAAGAGAGGUUUGAAAUGACUUUGAAAACGAGAUUUUAUGGCUGAGUAAUUUCAUCACAUCGUCUCUUUCAAAAAUGUUGACUUUUUGUUGCAGCAGAAUGCUGUAAAUAAUUUACAUGAUUUCAUGACGUUUCCCAUACGCAGCAGUGUGAUGCUUUUUUUAGGAGAACGCUUCAAUACAUGUGAGAGUAAAGGAGAUUUUUUAUUUUAUUUAAAAUUUUCCCAAAAAAUACGUAAGCGUUGUAUUCAAAAUAUAAUGUUCCUCCAAGCCCCAUUUCCGAAACAUUUAACGCACCCCGGAAUAAAGUCCUGUGUGACACACACCUGCGUUUAUUUUAAAAUUGGGGUUUUAAUGAUUUCAGAUCCCCGCCUCUCUCUCUCUCUCUCUCUCUCUCUCUCUCUCUCUCUCUCUCUCUCUCUCUCUCUCUCUCUCCCUCUCGCUCCCUCCCUCCCUCCCUCCCUCUCUCUCCCUGCGAGGCGGAGUUUAUCCCCUCUGCUCACCGUGUGGACCGUCUUCACUUGUCAGUAGCAGUCCGCAUGUUUGAGGGAGAGGACACGUGCGAGUCUCUGGAGACAUAAGACACUUCUUUAACACUCGGCUCUUUUGCGUUAUUAGAUUAUUAGACCAGAUGUUCUGUCAACGCGGGGAGAGAAUCCGAGGCGGAAUUUGAACGGGUCGCAGGGUUCGACUGGCGGAGCGGAGUCAGCCCGAUGUGCAAGAAAAUGUCGACCCCCUCGUCCCUGAAGACGGAAGGCAACUACCAUCGGACAGGACAACGAGUCACCUUACAGAAAGAAACAAGGGUGGGUGGUUGGAAGGCUGGAUAAAGGCUGGUAGAUGACUGAACUCAGAGACCCAGCGCUGCUCAUCAUCAUUGCCAUGGGCUCUCGUCUUCCUCCUCUCCUCCUGUGGCCGAUACCUCCAACCAGGGGUCCAGCAGAGCCGGCGAAGCCCAGGCAGAGAGCUAGUGAGUAGGCUGGAAAAGGAUGGAGAAGGUCCCUGAUGGCUAGAAGCACCUCUGGAGCUACCGGCAUGUAGGAGAAAUCAAUAUGAAACACAGAUCCUGCACAGCUCUGAGUGGUCUUCCCCAUGUUAGUCUGUGGCCUUAGGGGCCCACAGACCUCCAAAGGACAGGCCCUGCGUGGCCCUCUCAGCUGCAGGCUGAGACCGGCUCCUAAGACUGGACCUCACUCCCCAUCUCCACUGGCUGUGUGUGGUUCAGCUGAAGGGGAUCGCUCCCCAUGUGAUACCCCGAAUGCUGAAAGACCGCCGACAGGGAUAUUCCGUUCUCUUUCUUCCCCCCCCCCUUCACAAGAUUGACAUAUCCACCGCUUUCUGCCUCUGGCUGUUUGAAGAAAAGCGUUUGGGAGUCCUGCUUUUGAAUCUCUCUCCGCCCUCAACACAUCCGUUGUUUAUUCCCCAACCAGUUUUUACAUUUGACAAAGAGACAGCACCGUCUUUAUUUUCUCUUCCACCCUUUGCUUGCGGUUGGUAAACAUGUGCCAGUUAAGACCAGAAACAGCGACGCCUUUUCUCACCGUGAUGUCUGGUAUUCAAUCCCAGAAUAUAUAUAUAUAUAUAUAUAUAUCUUUUAACUGAAUAUCAAGGAGAGCAGAAGAUCACAGAGAGACCUUCUCAUCUUGUAGUGGAGAUAGUAAAAUGGCAAGUAUCACUCUUCAGCACUCGACAUUUUCCAUUCUGAACAACUCUCAAUGUGCUCUCAUUACCUCAUUCAUUCACCUAAAAGUGUGUGUUUCUGUCUGUGUGUGUGUGUGUGUGUGUGUGUGUGUGUGUCUGUGUGUGCGUGACUUAUGUCCAAUAUGUUUGGUUCAAAGAGUUUCAUUUUAUGAUAUUAAUUACAGCAGUAAAGUCUCUUGUCACUGAAAAAUGUUUAGAAGCUAACAGGUUAGCUUCCUUUAGAUUCCUUUUGAAAGUUCCUCCAAUCCGAACAUUUUAAAUCAUACAAGAGAUCUAUUCACUAUUUACAUGUUUCCCCCAAUUGACAGAUCUGUUUGUGUCUGAUUAGACCGUAUUUGCUUGGCCUUGAAAGCCAGCGAGCAGCAGCCGUGCACCACAAAGCUCCCAAACUGCUGCCGUUGUCACAGCGAUGCAGCGUGGUCGUUUCCAGACGGGCACAGAUUCAGACAAAAUGGCCGCCGGUCUUCUCCUGUGCCAAAGAUGGAGGGCGCAUCUCUGUUGUUCGCCAUCUGUGCAUCCGUUAGCCGUUGUCAAAUGCAAAUCCAGCCUAAUUGCAUUUGCAUAACCUCCAACCACCAUGUCGUCGGCGUGUGCAGAUAAUUGCUCCGAUGAACGCGACGCAGCGGCAACUGAUGUUUUAAAGCGUGUUUUGGCGCUGGCGGUUUUUCUCCGCGGUUGUUGUUGAUAGUGAGAUCAGGAGUCUGGUCCUACUGCGCCAGAUGGCGCGAGUCUUUUGCACGUGAAUCCCUCGCAUUCAAAUGUGACACUGUAUAAAAGAUUAAGUGGUGACCUUUUUUUUUAAUCAGAAAGCGCCCCUUUCAAGCAUGCACUUUUUUUACAUGCAGACAUACGUGAUGCACUGAUGAAAGCAGGCAAACAGAGGAGCUCAGACAUGCACACAGACUAAUUAAAAAAGGGAUCCGUAGGCCCAACAAACUCCAGACUGACCGCAAUAGUUUCAUUUUCAUGCACAUGGUUUCCAUGGCAGUGAACAAAUCAAGGGGUGACCGCGUUUGCUGUAAAACGGCGACACACAAAACAUACAUGCGAGGUGCCGCCCCAAGAACGCUGUACCUGUGAAGCAUCACAUCGGAGGAGAAUCCACCAGCUAGAGCGAAAAACAUCGAGACAUCGUGCUCGUCAUCUUUUAGAGACUCACAAAUGAAUAGCUGACGUUUCUGCAUCUUGGCAGCGUCUCGCAUUGUGGCCGCAUUUGAUUGAGCAGUUUUGGUUUUUCGGGCGGAGGGGAGGAGGGGGGGCAGGGGGCGUUAAUUAAUGCGACGCGAGUCGGCUGAGCGGCCCGAGUAACAAAGCAGCGCUCUUAUUUGCAUUCGCCCAUCAGGGCAGCUGCCGCGCCGUACAGUGAGCUCUACUGUGGGCAGCAAAAUGGCGGUCACGCAAAUCAUGGGGUCUGUCUGCUGGUCGUGGGAGCCGAGAAGAAUAGAGAGGAGGAG
ensembl:lncRNA